rnacentral:lncRNA from 1 species
UCAUCAAUAAUUAGAUAGGAAAGGAGAAUCUAGAAAUGGCAGCUAUGGUUGAUGUGUGCCUGGAAAAAUUUUUAAAGCUAAGAGCAAAAGUCAGAGCCCGAAAUCCGUUGAUUCAAGCCGCGGCUAAUGAAGUAGAAGAAAGAAAACAACGAAAGCAAGAGUCGACUUCAUCAUCAGCCACCCUCAAGUCACCGGCAAACGCCCUAAGGGAGGGGACGAUGUCAGAAGCGACCGUGUUUUUGCUCAUGGACCGGUUUGCACCAUGUUGAAACUAAACGAGGAAUUGAUCCUCUUUUAUGUACAUGUAAAGAGUAUAUAUAUAUGUGUAUGGAUCUUCAGUCAAGAUCAAGAAACGAACAUAUUCCUGAAUUUGAUUGAAUAAAAGAACUUUAAUGGUCUCAACGACUUAAUCCGUCACACUUAACAAAGCUAUGAAAUCAUGCCAUGUUCAUCUUAUUCGACGAAUACAAGGAUAUGUACAUUUAAAUAGGCUUAUUCAUUAAUGCUGUAACGGGAGAAGAGACUACUUACAGCUAUUUCUGUUUGAAAUUUAUGUUGUGCUAGCCUCGAUGCUUUCGAUAGAAUCUUCAUUCAUACUGAACGUAAGUUUCUCCAUGUCCCACUUCAGGACCUCCCGACCAUAUUUAAAAGCGAGGUCAACGCUAUCAGCUUCCAGUCCUGUAACCGGUGCAACAAACAACUUGCGCCCAGUCAGGGAAUUGAAAAGCCGUUUGAACUUCACAGCGAUGUAGUGGAAAGCACGUUGAGCUAAAGGCGGGUUGGUGGUGUUGUGUGGAUUAAGACUGAUCAGGGGACUAAAAUCCUGAAACCACUCACAUUGCGAUAGAGGAACUUGUUCGAUUUUUUCUUCCAGCAGGUCGAACUUGUUGAGUAUGAGAAUGAAAUUCUUCUGGGCGAAGGACGGAUGGGUGGCUACUCUCUCAAAAAGUUUCUUGUUCGCCAACAUCUUGUUUGUGCAAAUUCCAGUUGCGUCUUCGUGCAAUUCAUCAAAAUCGGUCAAGGAAACGCAAAACAUAACAAGGUUGACGUCUUCAAACAUCUCCAGCCACUUGCAGUUUCCUCCGAGGCUGUUUUCGUUAACUCUAAUGAGUUGGUACCUGGAUGAAAACAACAAAAAUGAUAAGAACUCAUAGCAGGUUGUUUCCUAUUGGCUGGGUUAAAAAAUUUCAUUACAUACACAGAAGAGACAGUAGAAUUACUAUCAGUUACUAAUUGAAUCUUAAGAAAGAAUGACACAAACAUGGAAACAACUUCAGAGAUUUCACUUAAAUUCUUGAUCACAUCAUAGACCAAGCUCGAAUUCUGCCAAAAGUGAGGCAACCGUUUGAUAAUGAAUUAUGCAAGAGAAGUGACUAACCUUAAAAUGGGAUCACUCUGAUCAUUAGAUUCCAUGUAUGCAUCCUGAGAUAAAACGGGAAAAGAAAAUUCCAUGGAUGCAACCCCAUUGGAUGAAGUGAUGCCCUCCGCAUACAAAAUAUCCAUUUCUGAAGGCUCAUAGUUAAUUUUGGAAAUCUCAACAGCCUUCAAAAAGUCGAAUUAGCUUACUGGUGUUAGAAAAUGUAUAUAGUAAGUAUCAACCCGGUAAAGAGAGAUCGUGAGUUAUAACUUACUCGAUCUAAGAAAUAAUUUGAGACUCUUGGUAGUUUAUGCAGUUCAUUUCUUCGUUUGUAUGAGGCUUGAAAGGCUUCGUUCUUCCAUAACUGCUCAAUUAAUGGUGCGUACUCUCGAGUAGCGGCUGGGAAAACGGCCUCCAAGUUGCCCGAACCCAUAACUUGGAGAAGCCAAUCGGAGAAUGCUUUCAGACUCGGACUAAUGGAAUAAAUAUUUUGUUCAUCAACCUCUUCAGAUAUCUCUGUUCCAAACCCAUAAAAAAUAAAAAUAAAAAAAGAUUACAAAUCUUGGCACACUGUUCUAUUGUGCAUAUUAUCAAUUUACAAUUAUGCUUCUAAAAAGAACAUCUAAACUAUCAAUUGCUCGAAUCAAGUAAUGAUAACAGCUGACUUGUUUUUGAUGGCAGAAGAAUCUGCGUUUUUACCUGAAGGACCAGGUUGAUCAAUGUGGCGUUGUCUCCUCAUUUCAACAGAAUAAUCUUCUUCAAAUUGUUCACGACCCUCAAG